ACGAACGCUGGCGGCGUGCUUCACACAUGCAAGUCGAACGGGUCUGCCCUGUUUUUUGCGGGGUGGGUCAGUGGCGAACGGGUGAGUAACACGUGAGUAACCUGCCCCUCACUUCUGGAUAACCGCUUGAAAGGGUGGCUAAUACGGGGUGUUCUGGCUGUGCCGCAUGGUGUGGCUGGGAAAGAUUCACUUUUGUGGUGUUUUUGUGGGGGAUGGGCUCGCGGCCUAUCAGCUUGUUGGUGGGGUGAUGGCCUGCCAAGGCUUUGACGGGUAGCCGGCCUGAGAGGGUGGGCGGUCACACUGGGACUGAGAUACGGCCCAGACUCCUGCGGGAGGCAGCAGUGGGGGGUAUUGCACAAUGGGCGGAAGCCUGAUGCAGCGACGUCGCGUGAGGGAUGGAGGCCUUCGGGUUGUGAACCUCUUUCGCCGGUGAAGAAGGUCCUGCUCUUUGUGGUGGGGUUGACGGUAGCCGGGUUAUGAAGCGCCGGCUAACUACGUG
rnacentral:rRNA from 1 species